UUUUGGGGUGGAACAAACCAGGUUUAAUCUCUUGGAAGGUGAAAGGAAGAAACCGAGAGGACCCCCGGGGGCUGCCCCGGUCCCUGCGGUGACACGGGGUCACGGCCACCCACCGGGGCCCCAAGUGCAAAAUACAAAUGCAGCAUUUUGGGUGCUGAUCAGAACAGGGCAGAAACGCGGCUUUCUGCCACCGGAAGGCGUGUGAGUGUGCGCCGAGGUGAGGCUCGUAUUAAAAAGUGAGCUACAAAAGGCUUUAAAAAGUGAACUCAUCCCCAAAUAAAUAAACCACCGACUCCUGCCCAUGCCGUGCCCCGGUGCGUUGGCCAUGUUGAGGUCCCACGUGCCAGGGACUGUCACCAGCACCGCCAUGGGGCGGAUGUUCUGCCCAGGGGUCACCCGGAGAGACACCGAAAGGCUUUUGGCUGUGCCUGGCCCCCCAUGGGGAACCUCUUCCCGGAGCCCUGUGGGGCAUGACGUCCCCAGGGCUGGGAUGGGGCAGGAGCAUGGUGUCCCCGAGCCCCGUCUCAAGGGGACAAGGACCUUUCCCACCAUCUGUGAAUGGGGACACUGGGCGGGAGAGGGGACAGUCACUGGAGGAGGGCAAGCGGCAUCCUUGUGCCCAUCAGGACCUGCUCAGCUCCUGCACGGAGACACGCUUUGGGUCCCUCCACGUCCCAGUGGCCACCCCGGUCCCUGUGGUGCCAGUGCUCUCCACUGCCAGCUCUCCACUGUCCCCAGCAUUUGCCGGGGCAGUGCCCAGUCCCACGUCCCCACGGCAGCAAGGGGACCCACCGGCCGGUGCCACUACGUGCCCAGGGGCAGGAAUGUGACAUUGCCCUCCGUGUCCAGGCACAGCCCGUGGCUGCCCUCGGGCCCCGGCACCGAGCGUCCACCACCACUUCCAUCCUUCGGUAGCGUCCCCUCCAGCGCCUGCCGGUUGUCCACGUCCCUGGGGCGGGUGACAGGCGAGUCCCGGUCCCCAGGGCCGGGUGACAGGCGCUCGGUGUCGGCCAACUCUGAGUCGUCUGUGGCUGGCGUCUUGGAGCCGCUGUUGUCCUCGUCCAAGGGGCUCUCGGCCCCCUCCAGCUCCGUGUCCGACUCACCCUCCUCCUCCUCCUCCAGCGUCAGCUCGAACUGGAACUUGUCGGUGGCAGCAGGGGA
rnacentral:lncRNA from 1 species